rnacentral:lncRNA from 1 species
UAAUAUCAGAACAUCAGACAUGUUAAUAUGUGUUGUAGUGGUUUAAUAAUAUCAGAACAUCGGACAUGUUAAUAUGUGUUGUAGUGGUUUAAUAAUAUCAGAACAUCAGACAUGUUAAUAUGUGUUGUAGUGGUUUAAUAAUAUCAGAAUAUCAGACAUGUUAAUAUGUGGAUGGGCAUUACUCUGGAUCAGAAGGUUGGGUUUUGGUUGGGGAGAUGGAUGGGCAUUACUCUGGAUCAGAAGGUUGGGUUUUGGUUGGGGAGGUUGAUGGGCAUUACUCUGGAUCAGAAGGUUGGGUUUUGGUUGGGGAGGUGGAUGGGCAUUACUCUGGAUCAGAAGGUUGGGUUUUGGUUGGGGAGGUGGAUGGGCAUUACUCUGGAUCAGAAGGUUGGGUUUUGGUUGGGGAGGUGGAUGGGCAUUACUCUGGAUCAGAAGGUUGGGUUUUGGUUGGGGAGGUUGAUGGGCAUUACUCUGGAUCAGAAGGUUGGGUUUUGGUUGGGGAGGUGGAUGGGCAUUACUCUGGAUCAGAAGGUUGGGUUUUGGUUGGGGAGGUGGAUGGGCAUUACUCUGGAUCAGAAGGUUGGGUUUUGGUUGGGGAGGUUGAUGGGCAUUACUCUGGAUCAGAAGGUUGGGUUUUGGUUGGGGAGGUGGAUGGGCAUUACUCUGGAUCAGAAGGUUGGGUGUCUGAUCCCAGUAUUUUUUAAUUUAUACUGAACAAAAAUAUAACGCAACAUGCAACAAUAUCAAAGAUUUUACUGAGUUACAGUUCAUAGAAGGAAAUCCAUCAGUUGAAAUAAAUAAAUGAGGUCCUAAUCUAUGGAUUUCACAUGACUGGGCAGGGGCUCAGCAAUGAGUGGCCCCUGGGAGGGCAUAGGCCCACCCACUUGGGAGCCGGGUCUACCCACUGGGGAGGCAUUCCCAGCCAAUCAGAAUUAUUUUUCCCCCACAAAAGGGUUUUAUUACACACAGAAAUACUCCUGUGCACCCCUCCC